AUUGAACGCUGGCGGCAGGCCUAACACAUGCAAGUCGAACGAGUGGCGGACGGGUGAGUAAUGUCUGGGAAACUGCCUGAUGGAGGGGGAUAACUACUGGAAACGGUAGCUAAUACCGCAUACCAUCAGAUGUGCCCAGAUGGGAUUAGCUAGUUGGUGGGGUAACGGCUCACCAAGGCGACGAUCCCUAGCUGGUCUAAGAGGUUGACAAGCCAAACUGGAACUGAGAAACGGUCCAGACUCCUAAGGGAGGCAGCAGGAGGGAAGGUGGCACAAUGGGCGGAAGCCUGAUGCAGCCAUUCCAAGUGUAUGAAGAAGGCCUUCGGGUUGUAAAGUACUUUCAGCGGGGAGGCGUGACGCGGAGAAGAAGCACCGGCUAACUCCGUGCCAGCCGCCGCGGUAAUUC
rnacentral:rRNA from 1 species